UUAAGCGACUAAGCGUACACGGUGGAUGCCCUGGCAGUCAGAGGCGAUGAAGGACGUGCUAAUCUGCGAUAAGCGUCGGUAAGGUGAUAUGAACCGUUAUAACCGGCGAUUUCCGAAUGGGGAAACCCAGUGUGUUUCGACACACUAUCAUUAACUGAAUCCAUAGGUUAAUGAGGCGAACCGGGGGAACUGAAACAUCUAAGUACCCCGAGGAAAAGAAAUCAACCGAGAUUCCCCCAGUAGCGGCGAGCGAACGGGGAGCAGCCCAGAGCCUGAAUCAGUAUGUGUGUUAGUGGAAGCGUCUGGAAAGGCGCGCGAUACAGGGUGACAGCCCCGUACACAAAAAUGCACAUGCUGUGAGCUCGAUGAGUAGGGCGGGACACGUGGUAUCCUGUCUGAAUAUGGGGGACCAUCCUCCAAGGCUAAAUACUCCUGACUGACCGAUAGUGAACCAGUACCGUGAGGGAAAGGCGAAAAGAACCCCGGCGAGGGGAGUGAAAAAGAACCUGAAACCGUGUACGUACAAGCAGUGGGAGCACAGAGCAAUCUGUGUGACUGCGUACCUUUUGUAUAAUGGGUCAGCGACUUAUAUUCUGUAGCAAGGUUAACCGAAUAGGGGAGCCGAAGGGAAACCGAGUCUUAACUGGGCGUUAAGUUGCAGGGUAUAGACCCGAAACCCGGUGAUCUAGCCAUGGGCAGGUUGAAGGUUGGGUAACACUAACUGGAGGACCGAACCGACUAAUGUUGAAAAAUUAGCGGAUGACUUGUGGCUGGGGGUGAAAGGCCAAUCAAACCGGGAGAUAGCUGGUUCUCCCCGAAAGCUAUUUAGGUAGCGCCUCGUGAAUUCAUCUCCGGGGGUAGAGCACUGUUUCGGCAAGGGGGUCAUCCCGACUUACCAACCCGAUGCAAACUGCGAAUACCGGAGAAUGUUAUCACGGGAGACACACGGCGGGUGCUAACGUCCGUCGUGAAGAGGGAAACAACCCAGACCGCCAGCUAAGGUCCCAAAGUCAUGGUUAAGUGGGAAACGAUGUGGGAAGGCCCAGACAGCCAGGAUGUUGGCUUAGAAGCAGCCAUCAUUUAAAGAAAGCGUAAUAGCUCACUGGUCGAGUCGGCCUGCGCGGAAGAUGUAACGGGGCUAAACCAUGCACCGAAGCUGCGGCAGCGACGCUUAUGCGUUGUUGGGUAGGGGAGCGUUCUGUAAGCCUGUGAAGGUGUGCUGUGAGGCAUGCUGGAGGUAUCAGAAGUGCGAAUGCUGACAUAAGUAACGAUAAAGCGGGUGAAAAGCCCGCUCGCCGGAAGACCAAGGGUUCCUGUCCAACGUUAAUCGGGGCAGGGUGAGUCGACCCCUAAGGCGAGGCCGAAAGGCGUAGUCGAUGGGAAACAGGUUAAUAUUCCUGUACUUGGUGUUACUGCGAAGGGGGGACGGAGAAGGCUAUGUUGGCCGGGCGACGGUUGUCCCGGUUUAAGCGUGUAGGCUGGUUUUCCAGGCAAAUCCGGAAAAUCAAGGCUGAGGCGUGAUGACGAGGCACUACGGUGCUGAAGCAACAAAUGCCCUGCUUCCAGGAAAAGCCUCUAAGCAUCAGGUAACAUCAAAUCGUACCCCAAACCGACACAGGUGGUCAGGUAGAGAAUACCAAGGCGCUUGAGAGAACUCGGGUGAAGGAACUAGGCAAAAUGGUGCCGUAACUUCGGGAGAAGGCACGCUGAUAUGUAGGUGAAGUCCCUCGCGGAUGGAGCUGAAAUCAGUCGAAGAUACCAGCUGGCUGCAACUGUUUAUUAAAAACACAGCACUGUGCAAACACGAAAGUGGACGUAUACGGUGUGACGCCUGCCCGGUGCCGGAAGGUUAAUUGAUGGGGUCAGCGCAAGCGAAGCUCUUGAUCGAAGCCCCGGUAAACGGCGGCCGUAACUAUAACGGUCCUAAGGUAGCGAAAUUCCUUGUCGGGUAAGUUCCGACCUGCACGAAUGGCGUAAUGAUGGCCAGGCUGUCUCCACCCGAGACUCAGUGAAAUUGAACUCGCUGUGAAGAUGCAGUGUACCCGCGGCAAGACGGAAAGACCCCGUGAACCUUUACUAUAGCUUGACACUGAACAUUGAGCCUUGAUGUGUAGGAUAGGUGGGAGGCUUGGAAGUGUGGACGCCAGUCUGCAUGGAGCCGACCUUGAAAUACCACCCUUUAAUGUUUGAUGUUCUAACGUUGACCCGUAAUCCGGGUUGCGGACAGUGUCUGGUGGGUAGUUUGACUGGGGCGGUCUCCUCCUAAAGAGUAACGGAGGAGCACGAAGGUUGGCUAAUCCUGGUCGGACAUCAGGAGGUUAGUGCAAUGGCAUAAGCCAGCUUGACUGCGAGCGUGACGGCGCGAGCAGGUGCGAAAGCAGGUCAUAGUGAUCCGGUGGUUCUGAAUGGAAGGGCCAUCGCUCAACGGAUAAAAGGUACUCCGGGGAUAACAGGCUGAUACCGCCCAAGAGUUCAUAUCGACGGCGGUGUUUGGCACCUCGAUGUCGGCUCAUCACAUCCUGGGGCUGAAGUAGGUCCCAAGGGUAUGGCUGUUCGCCAUUUAAAGUGGUACGCGAGCUGGGUUUAGAACGUCGUGAGACAGUUCGGUCCCUAUCUGCCGUGGGCGCUGGAGAACUGAGGGGGGCUGCUCCUAGUACGAGAGGACCGGAGUGGACGCAUCACUGGUGUUCGGGUUGUCAUGCCAAUGGCACUGCCCGGUAGCUAAAUGCGGAAGAGAUAAGUGCUGAAAGCAUCUAAGCACGAAACUUGCCCCGAGAUGAGUUCUCCCUGACUCCUUGAGAGUCCUGAAGGAACGUUGAAGACGACGACGUUGAUAGGCCGGGUGUGUAAGCGCAGCGAUGCGUUGAGCUAACCGGUACUAAUGAACCGUGAGGCUUAACCU
rnacentral:rRNA from 1 species